GUGGCAACACUGCAGGAAGUUAAAUGCUGAUUACUGAGCUCAUCAUUGCUUGACAGCUAAUAGUGAAGAAACGCAUCACAACGUUCGCUUUUCCUUUCAACAACAACAACACUACUAAUCACGGCAGACUUGAUGAAAGACAACAAAGACAACUUUGGACAAAUGAUGAUCCAGAAACUUCUAUUUCUUGGCCUGAAUAUAAAUGAAGAUUUCAUCAUAAUCCUCACAAAGGGUUGAAAAACAAGGUGCUGCAAACAAGCGUCUUGGGUUUCUGUCCACAACCUUCUACU